UGGGGAAUAUUGGACAAUGGGCGCAAGCCUGAUCCAGCAAUGCCGCGUGUGUGAAGAAGGCCUUCGGGUUGUAAAGCACUUUUGUUUGGGAAGAAAUCCGGUUGGUUAAUACCCGAUCGGGAUGACGGUACCAAAAGAAUAAGCACCGGCUAACUUCGUGCCAGCAGCCGCGGUAAUACGAAGGGUGCAAGCGUUAAUCGGAAUUACUGGGCGUAAAGCGUGCGUAGGUGGUUUGUUAAGUCAGAUGUGAAAGCCCUGGGCUCAACCUGGGAACUGCAUUUGAUACUGGCAGGCUAGAGUGCGGUAGAGGGUGGUGGAAUUCCCGGUGUAGCGGUGAAAUGCGUAGAGAUCGGGAGGAACAUUCGUGGCGAAGGCGGCCACCUGGACCAGCACUGACACUGAGGCACGAAAGCGUGGGGAGCAAACAGG
rnacentral:rRNA from 1 species